UACGUAGGGUGCAAGCGUUAAUCGGAAUUACUGGGCGUAAAGCGUGCGCAGGCGGUUUUGUAAGUCUGUCGUGAAAUCCCCGGGCUCAACCUGGGAAUGGCGAUGGAGACUGCAGGGCUAGAGUUUGGCAGAGGGGGGUAGAAUUCCACGUGUAGCAGUGAAAUGCGUAGAUAUGUGGAGGAACACCGAUGGCGAAGGCAGCCCCCUGGGUCAAAAACUGACGCUCAUGCACGAAAGCGUGGGGAGCAAACAGG
rnacentral:rRNA from 1 species